GACGAACGCCGGCGGCGUGCCUAAUACAUGCAAGUAGAACGCUGAAGAGAGGAGCUUGCUCUUCUUGGAUGAGUUGCGAACGGGUGAGUAACGCGUAGGUAACCUGCCUGGUAGCGGGGGAUAACUAUUGGAAACGAUAGCUAAUACCGCAUAAAAUUGAUUAUUGCAUGAUAAUUAAUUGAAAGAUGCAACUGCAUCACUACCAGAUGGACCUGCGUUGUAUUAGCUAGUUGGUGAGGUAACGGCUCACCAAGGCGACGAUACAUAGCCGACCUGAGAGGGUGAUCGGCCACACUGGGACGGAGACACGGCCCAGACUCCUACGGGAGGCAGCAGUAGGGAAGCUUCGGCAAUGGGGGGAACCCUGACCGAGCAACGCCGCGGGAGUGAAGAAGGUUUUCGGAUCGUAAAGCUCUGUUGUAAGAGAAGAACGGGUGUGAGAGUGGAAAGUUCACACUGUGACGGUAUCUUACCAGAAAGAGACGGCUAACUACGUG
rnacentral:rRNA from 1 species